GAUGAACGCUGGCGGCGUGCCUAAUACAUGCAAGUCGAGCGAACGGACGAGAAGCUUGCUUCUCUGAUGUUAGCGGCGGACGGGUGAGUAACACGUGGAUAACCUACCUAUACGACUGGGAUAACUUCGGGAAACCGGAGCUAAUACCGGAUAAUAUUUUGAACCGCAUGGUUCAAAAGUGAAAGACGGUCUUGCUGUCACUUAUAGAUGGAUCCGCGCUGCAUUAGCUAGUUGGUAAGGUAACGGCUUACCAAGGCAACGAUGCAUAGCCGACCUGAGAGGGUGAUCGGCCACACUGGAACUGAGACACGGUCCAGACUCCUACGGGAGGCAGCAGUAGGGAAUCUUCCGCAAUGGGCGAAAGCCUGACGGAGCAACGCCGCGUGAGUGAUGAAGGUCUUCGGAUCGUAAAACUCUGUUAUUAGGGAAGAACAUAUGUGUAAGUAACUGUGCACAUCUUGACGGUACCGAAUCAGAAAGCCACGGCUAACUACGUG
rnacentral:rRNA from 1 species